rnacentral:rRNA from 1 species
ACUCCUACGGGAGGCAGCAGUGGGGAAUAUUGCACGAAAUCGGGCGAAGCCUGAUGCAGCAUGCCGCGUGUGUGAAGAAGGCCUUCGGGUUGUAAAGCACUUUCAGUCGUGAGGAAGGUAGUGUAGUUGAAUAGCUGCAUUAUUUGACGUUAGCGACAGAAGAAGCACCGGCUAACUCCGUGCCAGCAGCCGCGGUAAUACGGAGGGUGCGAGCAGUUAAUUC